GAAUUGUUGGCCGAGAAGGAGGGUUGGGAAGGAGGAUUUGGAGUGGUGGUGGUAGUACUUGUCGUCGAUGGUUUUCCACCAGGCGGCGACGGUUUGAGGUCCGGCCGAGGGGGAGUUGAGUGAGGCGAAGAAGUCGGACACGAUGGCACGCUGCGAAGGGGAGAAUCGGCCGUACCAGAUGAGAUUGACUGAGAUGGGGCCGGUGAGGAGAGCACCCUUGUGGUACGUGAGACCGAGGGACUGUUCAUCUA
rnacentral:misc_RNA from 1 species